GAAGCAAGUCAGACCGCCGCUGGUGCGAGCAUGGAAACAUGGCACUGGAGGAAGGUCCGGACUGCAAAGAGCAGCGUAGCAGCUAACGGCUGUCCGGCGUGAGCCGAGGAUUAGAGCAACAGAGACGAGUCGAUCAAACGUGCAGGGCGCAAGCGCUGCGGGACCGGAAGCGCAGCCUCCGGGGUCGGGUGAAACGGGCAAUCUCUACGCGCAGCAACACCAAGUAGGCCAGUAUUGAUGCGGCUCGCAGAGCUGGCGGGUAGGUGGCACCGAGCCGGGCAGUGAUGCUCGGCCAAGAGGAAUGGCGGUCACAGAAUUGCGUUCGCAAGAACGCGGUUCUGCACAGAAUCCGGCCUAUCGACUUGCUUCACUC
rfam:Paucibacter sp. KCTC 42545, complete genome.